UACGGAGGGUGCAAGCGUUAUCCGGGUUCACUGGGUUUAAAGGGUGCGUAGGCGGGCAGAUAAGUCAGUGGUGAAAUACCUGAGCUUAACUUGGGAACUGCCAUUGAUACUAUUUGUCUUGAAUGUUGUGGAGGUUAGCGGAAUAUGUCAUGUAGCGGUGAAAUGCUUAGAGAUGACAUAGAACACCUAUUGCGAAGGCAGCUAACUACGCAAAUAUUGACGCUGAGGCACGAAAGCGUGGGGAUCAAACAGG
rnacentral:rRNA from 1 species